GAAUUAGUUUGCAUUUGUCAAAACCAUUUCAUGUUUAACAUAAUACAAUUUCGAAACAUAACAUAAUAGAAAAAAAGAAACACAUUUGGACACCAACCUUUUAUAUUUAUGAUAUUAAAUACAAUAAUCAAAGUUAAGGGCAUCCUAAACAGAGGCAAAAACCGUUACAACACUUAGGCAGCCCAACUGGACAGCUUAUCUGACAUGAUCCAACUGAGGGACUACACUUCUCAAACUUCACUAACGAGCCUUUGUUAGCCAAAACAGAUGAGAUAAACAAACCUGAAAAUUAAAGCAUAUUCCAUUAGAGAUAAGCAUGGAACAUGAUGGUAAUUAGACUGCUAGUUAUCUCGAGACAAACAAAAGAUCUAGUUCGUACCACAUAUGGAAAGCAAUAACAUGAUCAAGUACACCAUCUUCAAAUUUUGCUCCAUGUUUUAAACCAAAACCAAAGGAGAUAGUUUUAAUCUGCAUCAAAGUAAUCUCUUAUGCCUCAUAUAUAUAAGAGUAAUUU
rnacentral:lncRNA from 1 species